UCAGAUUGAAAAUCAUUCCAUAAUAUAUAAUUUAGAUAUAAAAUGGUUAAAAGCAUUUCAGGUUAAAUGCAUUCCAGUUGCAUUUCUUUUGUUCCGAUAGUCAAGAAGUAAAAACUGCAUGAAAUUCAUAAUUCUAUUAUCAUUUCGUACUAUAGAAAAUGUUUGUUGUGUUUCUCGUUUGAUGAUAUUUAAGAAUUAAUACAGUUACUACUUUUUUAAACGUCUUUACUGGCCUUGUUGUUAAAUAAUUCCAUAUUAUAUCAAAAUAAACAACAUAAAUAUUAUGAUGGAAAAAAAUGUCCCGUGCGAAUGUGAUUAAUAUUUAAUAAAAAAAACUAUAAAUUAUUUUUGGGAGAAAUUCAUACAAAUUUUAAAGACAUCAAUGCACAACAUUCUACAAUCAAAAACAUUUGAAUAUUGCCUCACAAUUCGCUGAAAUCGCCGUUUGAAUUGUUAUCCUCAAAACGACUUCCAUUUUUUGUCCCGUGCGAAUGCCUUGCCGUUCCAAAAUCAACCUUAACACUUUAUGUAGGACGCAGUCUCGCCGAUCCACUGGGCUUAGCAAUGUGGUGACCAAUUUACCCCCCACACCUUUUUUCUUUUAAUGUCGAUCUAAGAUCACGCAUCAGACAGCCAACAAACUGUAAAAAAUAUACCUAAAAAUAGAAAAUUAUACUUACCGUAUUAUACUUACCUUUUUGCUGUAAUCAAAACCUAUAAAAAUUAAAGAAAGUAAAAAAUUAAAAUAUGGAUAUAUUAAUAUUAAAUAAACAUUAAAUUUGCGGAGUUUAUUGCCCUGAACACAUAGACGACGACAGGAGACGAGCAACAUCUGUCAAAUAUUAAAAUACACGCGUUCUUAUGGCAGCUUUUCGACAACAACACGACUUCGCGACAGCUGACUUGAAGUUGUCGCUGUCGCCAAAUUACAUAUGUUUCUAAUUUUGCCAACGGCAAUGGUCACUGUAGAGCUGACACUAAUAUGGUAUAAUUCCUAACAAGUAUGACGUAAUUUUGCCAGCAGAAGCGUAAAAUAACUUUGAUAUGUAUAUCAUUUGUAAUAACAAUCAAUUAUUUAAAACAAAUAAAUCGUCCUAUAUAUAGUUUUUUGGCACAAAAAAAAUCACUUUGAACACAAUAUGUAGUAUGUAGUAUGUUUUAGUACGGCAACAAUGAAACGCUGGCUUCAAAGCGACAUUUGUAGCCAAGAAAAUUUCGUGUCGUGAAGUCGUCUUUGUGUUCAGAGCAUAACUCAUGAUUCAAUUAUAAAAGGUUUGGUAAGUAGUGACAGCAAAGUUUUGACACUGCGUUACUAAAGGUUGUAUUUGCGAAGGAAGGAAAAAAGGAUGAGUCAAGGGCUGUGGUUUAAUAUAAAAUUAAUAUCUAAAAAAGAAAUCUAUUACCGACCAUUAAAAGAAAUUAUCCAACGGGCUAAAAUGACCAUCCAGUUGUGAAGACCAUAAUCAUAUUCCACUGAGAGUCGUUUUCAAAUACAUGAAAGUUAUAACUACUAAAGUAUCAGUAAACUGACUAGAUUUUGUUCUAAAAUCAAUACGAAUACUUUAACAACCAAAUUGUGUAAAUAAAUGAAUAUGAAUUAAAA